rnacentral:lncRNA from 1 species
GUUUUGUUCUUAAAAUCGGGUAUUACAAAGAGUAAAUUACACUGGCAGUCCCUAAACUAUCACAUGAUUCUUAUCUAAAUCCUCAAACUAUAAAAUUGCAUAUCUAGAUCCCUACUAUUUAAGUUUAUCAUCCUCAUCUAAAAUAGUCAUGUCACAGUCCAUUAGCUAGCAUGACAUUUUAACGUAGAACCGUCACGUGGGUCUAUAGCUCAUAAUCACAUAGAUGGUCUCUAAACGAUUAUGUGAUUCUUACCUAGGUCCUAAACAAUGAAGUGCUCAUCUGGAUCCCUAAUCUAUUAAAGUACUACAAUCUCGGUCCAAAGCAAUGUCUUGACAUGAUCUGCUAGUACAGUUGGAUCUGGGGAUGCGAGUGUGG